rnacentral:rRNA from 1 species
UGCACUAGGGGCACACCCCAAGGAGCCACACGGCGUGGGAGAACGCGCGCUUUUGCGUGUAUACCCCUUUUAUGCGAGGAAAGGGGGCUUCGGCCUUGACGGUACCGCAGGAAGAAGGACCGGCUAACUACGUGCCAGCAGCCGCGGUAAUACGUAGGGUCCGAGCGUUGUCCGGAGUUACUGGGCGUAAAGCGCGCGCAGGCGGCGGUGCUGGCCCGGCGUGAAAGCCCCCGGCUCAACCGGGGAGGGUCGUCGGGGACCGCACCGCUUGAGGGCGGUAGGGGCUGGUGGAAUGCCUGGUGUAGUGGUGAAAUGCGUAGAGAUCAGGCGGAACACCCGUGGCGAAGGCGGCCAGCUGGGCCGUCCCUGACGCUGAGGCGCGAAGGCGUGGGGAGCGAACGGGAUUAGAUACCCCGGUAGUCCACGCAGUAAACGAUGCCGACUAGGCGUGGGGGGAGUUGACCCCCUCCGUGCCGGAGCCAACGCUC